CCUACGGGCGGCAGCAGUGAGGAAUAUUGGUCAAUGGGCGCGAGCCUGAACCAGCCAAGUAGCGUGAAGGAUGACUGCCCUACGGGUUGUAAACUUCUUUUAUCAAGGAAUAAAGUGGGGCACGUGUGCCUUUUUGUAUGUACUUUAUGAAUAAGGAUCGGCUAACUCCGUGCCAGCAGCCGCGGUAAUACGGAGGAUCCGAGCGUUAUCCGGAUUUAUUGGGUUUAAAGGGAGCGUAGGUGGGUUGUUAAGUCAGUUGUGAAAGUGUGCGGCUCAACCGUAAAAUUGCAAUGGAGACUGGCAGGCUUGAGUACAGUUGAGGUAGGCGGAAUUCGUGGUGUAGCGGUGAAAUGCUUAGAUAUCACGAAGAACUCCGAUUGCGAAGGCAGCUUACUAAACUGCCACUGACAUUGAUGCUCGAAAGUGUGGGUAUCAAACAGGAUUAGAUACCCCGGUAGUC
rnacentral:rRNA from 1 species